UUUAUGGAGAGUUUGAUCCUGGCUCAGGAUGAACGCUGGCGGCGUGCCUAAUACAUGCAAGUCGAGCGAACGGACGAGAAGCUUGCUUCUCUGAUGUUAGCGGCGGACGGGUGAGUAACACGUGGAUAACCUACCUAUAAGACUGGGAUAACUUCGGGAAACCGGAGCUAAUACCGGAUAAUAUUUUGAACCGCAUGGUUCAAAAGUG
rnacentral:rRNA from 1 species